CGAAGAGCACGGCUGAACUUGAA
rnacentral:piRNA from 1 species